rnacentral:rRNA from 1 species
AACGAACGCUGGCGGCAUGCCUAACACAUGCAAGUCGAACGAGACCUUCGGGUCUAGUGGCGCACGGGUGCGUAACGCGUGGGAACCUGCCCUUAGGUUCGGAAUAACUCCCCGAAAGGGGUGCUAAUACCGGAUAAUGUCCUCGGACCAAAGAUUUAUCGCCUUUGGAUGGGCCCGCGUUGGAUUAGCUAGUUGGUAGGGUAAAAGCCUACCAAGGCGACGAUCCAUAGCUGGUCUGAGAGGAUGAUCAGCACACUGGGACUGAGACACGGCCCAGACUCCUACGGGAGGCAGCAGUGGGGAAUAUUGGACAAUGGGCGAAAGCCUGAUCCAGCAAUGCCGCGUGAGUGAUGAAGGCCUUAGGGUUGUAAAGCUCUUUUACCCGGGAUGAUAAUGACAGUACCGGGAGAAUAAGCUCCGGCUAACUCCGUG